rnacentral:lncRNA from 1 species
CUUUCAAUCUGCAGCUUCUAUGGGGAUCGUGGGACUCAAUCCAAGUUGUAGGUGAAAUAGCGAAGGCAGCUUUGGGGGUGGCUAAGACUGAUAUCUCUAUUGAGGUACCUGAGGAGGGUGAGGUUGCCAAGGAAAAGAUAAAAUUCCUCAGACCGCUACAAUGGCUAAGUCCUCUACUCAAGAUGUUACUCGAGCAGUGCAUUUGACCCUAAGGGUUAGUAUUUUGAUUAUGUCUCUUGUUUUGUUUGUUCUUUGCUUGCUUGCUUGCUUAUAUGAUGUUUGCUGUUUUGACAGAGUAUGAGAAGUCUUUACGGUGCUAUGACCCUGAUCACUUGGCAAGAAUAAUAGCUACCAUUGAGUAUAAGGUAUUGCUUUUGCAACUAUCGAGAUUUUGGUGGUUUUAGCAAUGCAUUCUUUUUC